rnacentral:rRNA from 1 species
UACGGGGGGGAGCAAGCGUUGUUCGGAUUUACUGGGCGUAAAGGGCGCGUAGGCGGUCAGCACAAGUCAGUUGUGAAAUCUCCGGGCUUAACCCGGAAAGGUCAACUGAUACUGUGCGACUAGAGUGCGGAAGGGGCAACUGGAAUUCUCGGUGUAGCGGUGAAAUGCGUAGAUAUCGAGAGGAACACCUGCGGCGAAGGCGGGUUGCUGGGCCGACACUGACGCUGAGACGCGAAAGCGUGGGGGAGCAAACAGG